rnacentral:rRNA from 1 species
AUUAUUCCGGUUGAUCCUGCCGGAGGCCAUUGCUAUUGGAGUCCGAUUUAGCCAUGCUAGUUGCACGAGUUCAGACUCGUAGCAGAUAGCUCAGUAACACGUGGCCAAAUUACCCUCUGGAGCACGAUAACCUCGGGUAACUGAGGCUAAUAUUGCAUACCGCUCGAUACCUGGAAUGGUUCGAGCCCGAAACGCCCCGGCGCCAGAGGAUAUGGCUGCGGCCGAUUAAGUAGACGGUGGGGUAACGGCCCACCGUGCCGAUAAUCGGUACGGGUUGUGAGAGCAAGAGCCCGGAGACGGUAUCUGAAACAAGAUACCGGGCCCUACGGGGUGCACCAGGUGCGAAACCUUUACACUGCACGCCAGUGCGAUAAGGGGACUCCAAGUGAGAGGGCAUAGAUCCCUCGCUUUUCGUGACCGUAAGGUGGUCUCCCAAUAAGUGCUGGGCAAGAACGGCGCCAUCCGCCGCGUCAUUAUCGAUAGUACAAAUUUUAGGAGCUCUUAUUGCGCCUACCUCGUGCAUUGCUGGCCUCGCACUUGCUCGGCGAAUUUUUCCCACCUGACUGAGGAAGCGUCCGGUGUUACCUAACUUAUUCGACUAUGCAUCAAAUCCAUCUUUCGCCCCCUGGUGGAAUUUCAUUGAGGUGCGCACCGAUCGGAAUUCCCAUUCUCUCCGCAACCUGAAUGGGGAAUGCCACCGGAGCCGGUAUCUUCUACUUACGCAUACGCCCUAUGUAACACUACAAAUUUCG